rnacentral:rRNA from 1 species
GUGAGGAAUAUUGCGCAAUGGAGGCAACUCUGACGCAGCCAUGCCGCGUGCAGGAAGAAGGCGCUACGCGUUGUAAACUGCUUUUAACCGGGAAGAAACCCCAGGACGUGUCCUGGGUUGACGGUACCGGAGGAAUAAGCACCGGCUAACUUCGUGCCAGCAGCCGCGGUAAUACGAAGGGUGCAAGCGUUAUCCGGAUUCAUUGGGUUUAAAGGGUGCGUAGGCGGAGCGUUAAGUCAGUGGUGAAAUCCUGCAGCUUAACUGUAGACUUGCCAUUGAUACUGGCGCUCUUGAGUGCGCUUGAAGUGGGCGGAAUGUGCCGUGUAGCGGUGAAAUGCUUAGAUAUGGCACAGAACACCAAUUGCGAAGGCAGCUCACUAAGGCGAUACUGACGCUGAGGCACGAAAGCGUGGGGAUCGAACAGGAUUAGAUAUCCGGGUAGUCC